rnacentral:rRNA from 1 species
GAUGAACGCUAGCGAUAGGCUUAACACAUGCAAGUCGAGGGGCAGCAUGAUCUUAGCUUGCUAAGGUUGAUGGCGACCGGCGCACGGGUGCGUAACGCGUAUGCAACUUGCCUUACAGAGGGGGAUAACCCGUUGAAAGACGGACUAAAACCGCAUACACUUGUAUUAUUGCAUGAUAUUACAAGGAAAUAUUUAUAGCUGUAAGAUAGGCAUGCGUCCAAUUAGCUUGUUGGUGAGGUAACGGCUCACCAAGGCGACGAUGGGUAGGGGAACUGAGAGGUUUAUCCCCCACACUGGUACUGAGACACGGACCAGACUCCUACGGGAGGCAGCAGUGAGGAAUAUUGGUCAAUGGGCGAGAGCCUGAACCAGCCAAGUCGCGUGAAGGAAGACUGUCCUAAGGAUUGUAAACUUCUUUUAUACGGGAAUAACGGGCGAUACGAGUAUUGCAUUGAAUGUACCGUAAGAAUAAGCAUCGGCUAACUCCGUGCCAGCAGCCGCGGUAAUACGGAGGAUGCGAGCGUUAUCCGGAUUUAUUGGGUUUAAAGGGUGCGUAGGUUGUUCGGUAAGUCAGCGGUGAAACCUGAGCGCUCAACGUUCAGCCUGCCGUUGAAACUGCUGGGCUUGAGUUCAGUGGCGGCAGGCGGAAUUCGUGGUGUAGCGGUGAAAUGCAUAGAUAUCACGAGGAACUCCGAUUGCGAAGGCAGCUUGCCAUACUGCGACUGACACUGAAGCACGAAGGCGUGGGUAUCAAACAGGAUUAGAUACCCUGGUAGUCCACGCAGUAAACGAUGAUUACUAGGAGUUUGCGAUAUACCGUCAAGCUUCCACAGCGAAAGCGUUAAGUAAUCCACCUGGGGAGUACGCCGGCAACGGUGAAACUCAAAGGAAUUGACGGGGGCCCGCUCAAGCGGAGGAACAUGUGGUUUAAUUCGAUGAUACGCGAGGAACCUUACCUGGGAUUGAAAUGUAGAUGACGGAUGGUG